UACGAAGGGGGCUAGCGUUGUUCGGAUUUACUGGGCGUAAAGAGCGCGCAGGCGGCUGGUCAAGUCCGAUGUGAAAUCUCCCGGCUCAACUGGGAAACUGCAUCGGAAACUGAUCGGCUUGAAGGUGGGAGAGGGUAGUGGAAUUCCCGGUGUAGUGGUGAAAUGCGUAGAUAUCGGGAGGAACACCAGUGGCGAAGGCGACUACCUGGCCCAUUCUUGACGCUGAGGCGCGAAAGCUAGGGGAGCGAACGGG
rnacentral:rRNA from 1 species